AUUUCUUUUUUUAUUUGCACGUGAGGGUGUGAGGUGGCGUUCAAAGGUUGUCAAGGGGUUGUGAGGAGCUAUAGGGCUCAAGUUCGAGGUUGAAGAUUAGAAACCGAAGGUUGAAGAUCAGAUUUGGGAUUAGAUGAGUCGCUGGUACAACUGACGUCGUCGUGGUGUAGGUCAGAUGAGUCGCCGGAGUCCAGGCCAAGUAACAGUGUCGCUGGAGUUUCGGGAAGCUAACGAUGUCAUCAAUUCGAGUGCAGGUGAUGUGCCGAUUAUUGAUUUUGGAUCAAUUACUAACUGUUUGCCAUUUUCUUUCUAGAAAAUCAAUGUAGUGUCUGCUUCUUAAUCUUGUUCUCUAUGAGUACCAUUGUUACCGUCUCUGGUAAAAACAUCUAACCAUAUGCCAGAUUCGUUGAUUCAGGCUACAAAAGUACCUGUUAAAGAGUAUGAGUUUGAUGAAAAGAAGAUGGCAAAUGUGCAGUCUCAUCUGGAAAAAUUGGUUGCCAAUAACUAUUACUUGAACAGGUCUCCAAAAGAUGCGUACAGAUAAAUAUAUUAUUCAUGAAGUGAAGGCAAGAAUAGUUGAAUGGUAUAUGAUUAUGAACAGGGGCAAAUGCGUAAAACAAAUUAUGAUUCUUUUUAUUAUGGAUGGUGCACAGGACAAGGGCAGGCUGGUCAAGACUGGAAGCUUUACACAUUCAUAUCCAUUUUGUUGAAGAUCUGAUACCCCUCUUAUCUACAGAGCAGUUCCCAUGAUGAGCAGUUGCUUGAAGCAGCUUGGUGUCUUACAAACAUAGCUGCUGGAAAACCUAAAGAAACAAGAGCUUAAUU